GAUGAACGCUAGCGGCAGGCUUAAUACAUGCAAGUCAAGGGGGUAGCAAUACAACCGGCGCACGGGUGAGUAACGCGUACACAACAUACCAUAUACUGGAGUAUAGCUUUGGGAAACUGAAGGUAAUCCUCCAUAACAUUGCGAGAGGGCAUCUGAUUGCAAUUAAAGUUCCGACGGUAUAUGAUUGGUGUGCGUUUGAUUAGCUAGUUGGUAGGGUAACGGCCUACCAAGGCGACGAUCAAUAGCUGGCGUGAGAGCGCGACCAGCCACACUGGAACUGAGACACGGUCCAGACUCCUACGGGAGGCAGCAGUAGGGAAUAUUGGACAAUGGGCGAAAGCCUGAUCCAGCCAUGCCGCGUGAUAGAUGAAGGCCCUCUGGGUUGUAAAUAUCUUUUUAUCUGGGAAGAAACUCCUCUAUUCUUAGAGGCCUGACGGUACCAGAGGAAUAAGCACCGGCUAACUCCGUGCCAGCAGCCG
rnacentral:rRNA from 1 species